CCCGGCGCGCGCGUCUGGAUGCGAGACCACACGCGUCACAUAGGCCUUGGCGACGCCUACAGCGCCCACAAGACGAGGCGCUACGCCGAGACCGGCAGCGGCGCCCGCCGCCGUGGUCGACGACGAAGUCACGUGCGGAUAGGACCCGUGGUCAAUGUCCAGCAUAGUCGCCUGCGAGCACUCGACCAGCACGCGUCCACCUUUAUUGAUGGCCUCGGCCACGAGGUUUACGGUGUCACACACAAGGCCGCGCAGCGUUGUCUCAUAGUAGCCAUCGACAUAGCGUAUGGCAUAGGCCUCGGCGGCAGCGUCCAACGCCGUGUCGGUCAAGGUCAGCGAUGUGGUGCCGUCAUCACUGAAAACAUUUGUCGUCGCCGUUGCCGACACAAGGCCCAGGGUCACAAGGACCUCGAUCACGGUGGCAGGAUGCGCGCCGGCGUGGUAGGCCAAGAGGGCACGCACGCGGCGCACAAAGCGGUCACGAUGGGCGAGAUCGCCCACACGGACGCCCCGGCGCGCCACCUUGUCGGCAUAACAGGGACCCACGCCGCGACGCGUGGUGCCUACGGCGGCCCCGCGCGAUGCCGCCUCGCGCUCGCCAUGAGCGUCGAGCGCCUUGUGGAGGUCAAGGAGCACGUGGGCGCGGUCCGAGACGUGCAUACGCUGGCGCCAGCGCAUGCCAUGAUCGCGACCGAGUGUGGUCAUCUCGUCGACGAGCAUGCCCACAUCAACAACGACGCCGUGGCCAAUUACACAUGCAAUGUCGGGGUGGAGCGCGCCCGACGGUACCAGGCGCACCAUGCAGCGCUUGGCGGCGCUGCCCGCCGGGUCAGCCACCACAAUGGUGUGGGCCGCGUUGGGGCCGCCCGCGCAUCGGGCCACAUGGGUGUAGUCGCCCGCGGCGCACAAAUAGUCGAUGGCCUUGCCCUUGCCCUCGUCGCCCCACUGGGUGCCCACGACGGCGGUCACUGGCAAAACUGCGCCACGAUCACGCGGUGCCGACAUGAUGGCAAGAGAGUCGGUAGUGGCGGCACGGGUCACGACGGCCAUCGUGUAUGCUCGGCCUUUGUUUUGUUUUCUCCUCUGCUUUCCGUUCGGUGGUCUGUGCGUCUAUUUCUGGUGCAGUCGGCGCCUCGGACCGAGUCGCCGUUGUCGGGCAAGGGUCCUUUCGAGGCCGCGUGGACGGCGCCCAAUUACGUUAGGCCAUGAGGGCGUGCGCGCACGGGCCGACAUCUGCCGCAAACAAAAAGGUCCCUUGCGGUGCGCGCCCACUCGGCCACGACAGGGCCAAAGACAAGCAAAAAAGAAAAAACCCAAUCCCUUUUCUUUCGGCAUGAAUUUGUCUUUUUGACUUUUUCGAUUAGUCUUUUUUUUCACG
rnacentral:lncRNA from 1 species